rnacentral:tRNA from 1 species
GCGCGGGUGCUGUAACUGGUAGCCAGGCUGCCUUGAGGUGGCAGUGCCCCUAGGGCGUGGAGGUUCGAGUCCUCUCCCGCGCACCA